CGUAGGCACCGAUGGAUGAGCAGGCGCGGGCACUUCUCCACCGGAUUACCUUGUGCGGCCACCAUGCGUUCGGGGGACCCACACAGCCCGCCUCUUCCUGCUGCUGUACAAGCUGAUGAACCGGAGCAAUCGCGGAGGGACGCUUUCUCCGGUGAAUGGUCCACACCCUUGCUCCAGCGAAUGGUCAGCGCCCCUCCAAGUUGAUGGUGUUGAACUAUUGAUCACCCUGCAGCUCACUGGUCGACGAUGCGCAGGUAUAUAUUUCUGACUGGCCCUUCACCCUUUAAUUGUGAUUCAUUGUGACCUCUAGUCUUGCCAAUUACUUGGAUAAAUUGCUAUAUAAUCACAAUACUUGCUGUCGUAGUGUCUAUUCUCUUGCUUGGUUCAUGUCAAACCAAGGAAUGAGUUUUGUGAUAAUUGGACAGUGUGUACUUUAAUCGUUCUCAACUGCAAGGCUGCAAGUGUAGAUCGACAAUCGCAUGUGCAAGUGUGUUGUGUGUGUGUACCUGUGGUUGGGUUGUCGUGUGCGCUCAUCUUAGUAAUUUUGUGAGACUGUGGGGUGAAUUGGUUUUGAUAAAAAAAUCAGGAUAUGCUAUGAAUCUGUAGAAAUUUACCUAGAUUGUGCAGUGAAUUGCUUUUGAACAUUACUUGCCAAUUGGCAUAUAUACUUGGUUAGAUUUAAUCUCUGAUGAGGUCAACAUCCCACUCCUCCUCUGCUAAUAAAAUAAGGACAAGUACCAUGAAAAAGUACUUAGACGAUAUCUACUCUUUGUUGUUAUAACCCGGAAAGAGCAUGUUCACUGUCUGCACUUUCAUGUACUUUGUUUUAUUCUCAUAAAUGUAUCUAUUUUUAACACUCUGCCGUCAUCAGGCUGUUGAACUGAUGCUUGUGGUUAAUUACCUUUCUGAGACGGUCUAUUCUUGGUAUGGUAAUUUUACUUGGGUUUGUGCAAAUCAGUAAAGGAUAGAAUAGAUUUACUUCAAAUAUGUGUGUCAAUAUAUGCACACACUUUAGUAUACCACCAUAAUUUUGUGCUCACCGUUGCAAUUUUUUUACCUACCCUGGCUUUGCUUGUUGGUUAUAUCCUGAAAUGGAGUGCGGUUGGAUGAUGACAUAUGGAUAUCUGAUUGCACUAUCCUGCAAUUGUAGCAAAGCAUUAUGAUAAACAAAGUAUGACCAUAUAUUGCAAAACCCUUCGUAAAGCAUAUUUGGUUGUUUCAGAGUUAGUUGCAUUAAUACAUUUUGGAUAAAAGAGUAACAAAUCUGAACGUUCUAUCAGGCUUGCAACAACUCAUGAAAGGUUAGAGUCAAAAAAAAAAGUCAGUAGAAAGGGUGAAAAUACUCUCGUCGGGAUUGUUGAGAAUGGGUAUAUAUUCUGGGUCCUCACCUGGUCAAUAAAGAGGGCUAAGCAUGUAGUAUAGAUACAGGUGCAGGUCAGCGCAUGUUUAUUAUUCAUCCCCUUAUGGUCAUGUGGUUCAUAGUUUCUGGUAAUGUUUGCAGGUCAGCGCAUGUUUAUUAUUCAUCCCCUUAUGGUCAUGUGGUUCAUAGUUUCUGGUAAUGUUUGCAGGUCAGCGCAUGUUUAUUAUUCAUCCCCUUAUGGUCAUGUGGUUCAUAGUUUCUGGUAAUGUUUGCAGGUCAGCGCAUGUUUAUUAUUCAUCCCCUUAUGGUCAUGUGGUUCAUAGUUUCUGGUAAUGUUUGCAUGGUAACCGUGAACCUCCGUAUGCUAUCUGCCUAUCUUUAUUUGCACUCUCAUAUUUUUUUAACUACUGCUUAGAUGAAUGGCUUUGGGCGUGGUACACACAUCUGUACCAUGCUGUCCAAUUUUCAUCUAAAAAGGCUUUGGAUUUAAUACAACUUUACGUUUUCAUCUAAAAAGGCAUCCCUCUUUUGUAUUUCAUUUUUUUAUUAUGUAUCAUUUCAUUUAAGAAGUUAGAUUGAGGCUACCUUUUUGUAACAUGGAGGGCAUGAUAUGCUCAGAAGUUUUUUUUUACCUUUUACUUAUAUUGGAACCUGACACAAUGUGUCUUUCCCAUACAUUGCAGGGUAGAAAAUAAGAAAGAUUCCAUGUGGUCUCUCUGGUUUCAGCCGGUAAUAUUUGAUUUGAGUGUUAAGAGAGCAUUCAGUUGUGAAAAUCGAUUCUCCUGGUUCUAGAUGGCAUCCAUGCUUAACAGGUGUGUGCGGCAGAAUGUUGUCUCCACGGCGCCUGGAAGUGUUCCGACGGCGAUCGGCGUGUGGGAUUGUCUCCGGCGGCGAUUGGCGAGCGGGAAUGUUGUCAUGCUGGAUUGUUUCGGCGGCGAUCGUGGAGGCUGGAGAGCGGGAGCGCUUUGGCGGCGAUCGUGGUUGUU